CAGCAGUAGCCACGGGAAUACGAAGGGGGCUAGCGUUGCUCGGAAUCACUGGGCGUAAAGGGUGCGUAGGCGGGUCUUUAAGUCAGGGGUGAAAUCCUGGAGCUCAACUCCAGAACUGCCUUUGAUACUGAAGAUCUUGAGUUCGGGAGAGGUGAGUGGAACUGCGAGUGUAGAGGUGAAAUUCGUAGAUAUUCGCAAGAACACCAGUGGCGAAGGCGGCUCACUGGCCCGAUACUGACGCUGAGGCACGAAAGCGUGGGGAACAAACAGGAUUAGAUACCCCUGUAGUCCCUGUCUCUUAUAC
rnacentral:rRNA from 1 species